CCUACGGGUGGCAGCAGUAGGGAAUAUUGCUCAAUGGGGGAAACCCUGAAGCAGCAACGCCGCGUGGAGGAUGAAGGUUUUAGGAUUGUAAACUCUCUUUGUUCGAGAAGAAUAUGACGGUACUUAUCGCAUAAGCACCGGCUAACUCCGUGCCAGCAGCCGCGGUACUAUGGAGGGUGCAAGCGUUACUCGGAAUCUCUGGGCGUUAAGAGUGUGUAGGCGGGGUAAUAAGUCAGAUGUGAAAUCCUGUAGCUUAACUACAGAACUGCAUUUGAAACUGUUACUCUGGAGUGUGGGAGAGGUAGGUGGAAUUCUUGGUGUAGGGGUGAAAUCCGUAGAGAUCAAGAAGAAUACUCAUUGCGAAGGCGACCUGCUGGAACAAUACUGACGCUGAUGCACGAAAGCGUGGGGAGCGAACAGGAUUAGAUACCCUUGUAGUC
rnacentral:rRNA from 1 species